UCACGUGCUACAAUGGCAUAUACAACGAGUUGCCAACCUGCGAAGGUGAGCUAAUCUCUUAAAGUACGUCUCAGUUCGGACUGCAGUCUGCAACUCGAGAGCAUGAAGCC
rnacentral:rRNA from 1 species